rnacentral:tRNA from 1 species
GACAAGAUGGCCGAGCGGUCUAAGGCGCUACGUUCAGGUCGUAGUCUAUUAUUUAGGCGCGGGUUCGAAUCCCGCUCUUGUCA